GUCACAGCCCGCAUUUAAGUACCCUGAACUUUGCAAAGGUCUGAACUGUGCAAAUAUUCAGCUCCAACAGCGGUAGAAAAACCAUCCUAUCAGAGCUGAAUCAUUGUCCAAAUCCACUCUUUUGGCCUCCACAGCGAUCUGUCCUGAUGCAUUCAAACAGGACUGCUCAGAACACAGUCUGCAGCACAUAUGCUGCCAAUUCACUCGGCCCAAAGCCUGCUCCUAGGACAUCCUUCUCUCCAGACCAGCAGGAAGGCAUCACAGGCCACCAGAAGAAUUCUUCCAGCGCAGACAAAGGUGAAGUUAUAUAUGGAAAGGCUGCAGGCUGGGAUGACGUUUAUUUUAAUGCAUAAGGGGAACUCUGACAUACAGACAUCUGAGAAAUACUUUAAAAGCACUUGGGAAGGGGGAAAAUGACAGGAGAAAAGAAACAGAUAUGCUCAGUUUCAAGCAAAGAAGAAUGAAUGAUUGCAGCAAUUGUCAGCCACUGGAUCACUUACACAUUUCUUGGUAAUUUCAGCCACCAAGAAAAUCAGAGGAAUUAAUACCAAGUCACUGAUGUUAAAGGUAAAAUCUGUUAUUUGAAAGAAUCCUUGCAGGGUACAGUCUGGGACCAGCUGUUAGAGACUGCAUCAUAUCCACUGCAGCCACACUUCAGAGGAGGACAGUGCAGGAGCUAACAAACUGAAAUAGGAUACUUGCACAAGAGCUAUAUCUCUUUUAGCUGAAGAAACUCCUUCCCUAUCCAGGAAAUUUUGUUCCGUCUACUUUGUUUCGUGGCAUCUUAAAGCAUUUGCAUUACCUGCAAUCAGUUCCAGAGACUUAUGUUCCUCGUAUCAUUAGAAUUACUAAACGGAUGUUAAGAUAUUUUCCUUUUAGUUUGGUAGUGGUUUUGAGCAGAAGCUGCCUGAUUACUGCACCUAAUCCAGUGAGCCCCAGACAAUACAAGCAGCCUCUAGUUUCUGGCUGAAAUAACUCUUCGUGAGGCUUUACUUAGUACACCCUCCUCACCACGUGGCCAAAUAUGUACUGCUCUCAAGUUAAGAUAUUCAAUGGGUACCACCCAUAUCAUUCUUUAGCCAGAGAGAGGAAGGAAUGUCCUGCAACUCAGGUAACCUAAACAGAUGCAGAUGCUCCAUCAUAUGGCACCACACGUGCUCCUCACAUAAGCAUGCUACCAUUUUGGUUACAGAGCAGGACUGGACUCCCUUGGUUACGUGCUUGGAUGGGAAAGGAUUGCAUAUUUUUUUCAAGGUUGUGACAACAGGGUGUAAAUAAACAGGACCAGGGCACUGCUGGCCAGGGAACUCCAGCAAGUCAUAGCCAGCUCAGAACAACUGCAACGCUAUCUCCAGUCUGCACAAUAUCUUUGCAAGGUGAGGUGCACUCUUGACCUACAUAGCAGAAUCCUUACCUUCUUUGCCCUUUCCCCCCCUUUAGUAAAGCUUGAAAAAUAUCCACAUUUUCCACACCUCUCAUGGAAACUGUGAAUAUUCUUUAAUUCGCUUUUUUACAGAGCAGGCUCUCUCUCUCUUCUCCAUUUGGAUAACUCCAAGAUAAAGUUAACAAAAUACUACUUCCAUAAUGCCCUCGGGAGAAAAGUAAGAAAAGUGAGGUUUAAAUGUAGAUGAAGGAUGACAGCUAAUCUUGAAAUCAUAGAAACACUCAUCUAUGAUAACUACAGUAUCUGCAAAUCAUGAGUUCACUGAUCAGAGCGUGCCAUUUGUCCUUUUAGGUAAGGAGAUGCAUUUCUAAAAUCUCCAGUGCAAGCCAAUGGUUUGUACUGAAGGAAAAUAAUUAAAAUGAUAACUGUAAUCACUACCAAGAAAUACUUACAAUUUAAUUAAAGGCAAGGAUUCUUUGUCAGUGUCUAACUAGAGCUCUCAAUGGAUGUGAUUUUCAGAAGCACUGUACUUCCAGAGGGAAUAAAGUAAUUUUGGUCUU
ensembl:lncRNA